rnacentral:lncRNA from 1 species
UGGGCUUGGCAGCCCCCUUCAUCCCAGUCUCCUCUUCUCUAAGAUGAGCUCCGCCAUACAUUCCAGAUUCCAAGUUUACUCCAGAAGCGUCUUUCUACUUUAUCAUCUGAUCCUUCUCCCCUAAAGUCCUACUGCCCUCCAAAUUUUCUGUUGUAAUCCAAUCUGUGUUUUGUUAGGCAGGCACUUCAUAAACUCCCACUUUAUUAAGAAUUUAUUCCUCUUUAGUACUUGAAAUACAGGUACAGUUUUCUUACCAUUUCACAGAGCCCCCAAGCUCUGAGGCCUUCCAACUGUCCAGUGGGAGGUUGGGAUAGUCCUCUGCUGAAGCUCAGCCCCUCACUAACUGAAAGGGAGGGUAGCCCAGUGCCUUGGAACUCUUUGCUGGGAGGAGCAGCUCCUCUAAAAGGAUGCCAAAUCUCUCAAUAGCACCCCACCCACAAGAGGAAGUCCAGUUCUCCCAGCCCCUUCCAACUGACCAAAGGCUCCGCUGGUCUUUCCAGCUCGGUGUGUCUUUGCCCAAGCCUUUCUCUCUCCUUGGAAAGCUCAGUCGUCUAGAAGCCCGGCCUGGUGAAACCCUAGCCUCCUGCAGAAGCCCUGCUCAAAUCACAGAAGCGCAGAAUACCUGGCCAGGAAGAGCGAGCACUGCCACAGAUCGCUGCCACCUGGACACCUGGCUCCUUUCCCUUUCUGCUCUGCAAGGCUGCUACCGGUCUGCAGGGACAGGGAGGACGCAAUAACCCCUAAGUGGGGAUGGGUGCAGCGCCCGGCCAGACACCCGCGAGUCCGGCACUUAGCGGGCGCUCGGCGCCUGCGGAAUCGUCGCCGGACACCUCCCAGGUGCCACCAGGCCGCUGGGGGGAGCUGGGGGAG